GAGAAAGGCGGAGGCCAGAUCUCAGGACUCCGCAGGCUCACGUGACCACGUUGUGAUGUCUGCAAGUCCUUCGGGAACAAAUGCUGCUUCUUCACUUAUCUUCCAGAAGCCACCAUCAGAACAUUAUAAGGAAACUGCUGAUUCUCUAAGAAGAAAAAGAGAAGAAAGGAAGGAAGGCAGAUGUGCCUGGCUUGACAGACAAGGGGGAUCCAUUGCGAGGGAAACACUGGGAUUUUGAGGCCCUGAGAAUGUUCUCUAUAAUCAACGUCCCCACAAGCAGUGCUGCCUCACCGGGCCGGGCUGGUCAGUGGAGGAGGAGGGGCUGCACAGCCCUCCAGGCCAGCGUGUGGCCACCUCCACCUUCCUCUUGACCUCCUGCGCUGCAGCUGAGGUCAGGUUGCAACACAUAAACAAGACUGUUCCAAAGAGACAAGCAGAAGGAAAUAAACAGAAAUGACUGCAAU
rnacentral:lncRNA from 1 species